rnacentral:rRNA from 1 species
AGAGUUUGAUCCUGGCUCAGGACGAACGCUGGUGGCGUGCUUAACACAUGCAAGUCGAACGGUGAAGCUCAGCUUGCUGGGUGGAUCAGUGGCGAACGGGUGAGUAACACGUGAGCAACCUGCCCCCUACUUCGGGAUAAGCCUUGGAAACGAGGUCUAAUACCGGAUAUGAACGUCUGCCGCAUGGUGGGUGUUGGAAAGUUUUUCGGUGGGGGAUGGGCUCGCGGCCUAUCAGCUUGUUGGUGGGGUAAUGGCCUACCAAGGCGUCGACGGGUAGCCGGCCUGAGAGGGCGACCGGCCACACUGGGACUGAGACACGGCCCAGACUCCUACGGGAGGCAGCAGUGGGGAAUAUUGCACAAUGGGCGAAAGCCUGAUGCAGCGACGCCACGUGAGGGAUGACGGCCUUCGGGUUGUAAACCUCUUUCAGCAGGGAAGAAGCGAAAGUGACGGUACCUGCAGAAGAAGCGCCGGCUAACUACGUGCCAGCAGCCGCGGUAAUACGUAGGGCGCAAGCGUUGUCCGGAAUUAUUGGGCGUAAAGAGCUCGUAGGCGGUCUGUCGCGUCUGGUGUGAAAUCCCAUGGCUCAACUGUGGGCUUGCAUCGGGUACGGGCAGACUAGAGUGCUGUAGGGGAGACUGGAAUUCCUGGUGUAGCGGUGGAAUGCGCAGAUAUCAGGAGGAACACCGAUGGCGAAGGCAGGUCUCUGGGCAGUUACUGACGCUGAGGAGCGAAAGCAUGGGGAGCGAACAGGAUUAGAUACCCUAGUAGUCC